rnacentral:rRNA from 1 species
AUUGAACGCUGGCGGCAUGCCUUACACAUGCAAGUCGAACGGCAGCACGGGUGCUUGCACCUGGUGGCGAGUGGCGAACGGGUGAGUUAUACAUAGGAACAUGUCCUGUAGUGGGGGAUAGCCCGGCGAAAGCCGGAUUAAUACCGCACACGAUCUACGGAUGAAAGCGGGGGCCCUUCGGGCCUCGCGUUAUAGGGUUGGUCGAUGGCCGAUUAGCUAGUUGGUGGGGUAAAGGCCUACCAAGGCGGCGACCAGUAGCUGGUCUGAGAGGACGACCAGCCACACUGGGACUGAGACACGGCCCAGACUCCUACGGGAGGCAGCAGUGGGGAAUUUUGGACAAUGGGCGAAAGCCUGAUCCAGCAAUGCCGCGUGUGUGAAGAAGGCCUUCGGGUUGUAAAGCACUUUUGUCCGGAAAGAAAUCCUUGGCCCUAAUACGGUCGGGGGAUGACGGUACCGGAAGAAUAAGCACCGGCUAACUACGUG